AGUGAACGCUGGCGGUAGGCCUAACACAUGCAAGUCGAACGGCAGCACAGUAAGAGCUUGCUCUUACGGGUGGCGAGUGGCGGACGGGUGAGGAAUACAUCGGAAUCUACUUUUUCGUGGGGGAUAACGUAGGGAAACUUACGCUAAUACCGCAUACGACCUACGGGUGAAAGCAGGGGAUCUUCGCACCUUGCGCGAUUGAAUGAGCCGAUGUCGGAUUAGCUAGUUGGCGGGGUAAGGGCCCACCAAGGCGACGAUCCGUAGCUGGUCUGAGAGGAUGAUCAGCCACACUGGAACUGAGACACGGUCCAGACUCCUACGGGAGGCAGCAGUGGGGAAUAUUGGACAAUGGGCGCAAGCCUGAUCCAGCCAUACCGCGUGGGUGAAGAAGGCCUUCGGGUUGUAAAGCCCUUUUGUUGGGAAAGAAAAGCAGCAGGUUAAUACCCCGCUGUUCUGACGGUACCCAAAGAAUAAGCACCGGCUAACUUCGUG
rnacentral:rRNA from 1 species